CACUGAUCCAGUGGGAUUACAGCAAAUCACCCUGGCCUGUGCAGGAACUGUGGAAGUUGUCACACCUUUCCCAGAUCCGUUUGCCUACACAGAAAUCAUUGUUUUAGACAAGGCAUUAAUGGAAAAAGUAGGCAGCCGGCCAGCCAGCUAUCCAUCUCCUGCAUCACACAGUCUCUUCCUCCCAGAAUCUGAGAAAACAAAAUCAAGUGGAAAAAUUUCAACUCAAGAACGACUGCAUUUGCCUCCAGACUUGUCAGACACAGUGAGCCGCUCAAGCAAAAUGGAUCUGGCAGAAUCCGCCAAGCGGCUGGGCCCAGGCUGUGGCAUGAUGGCCGGAGGCAAGAAGCACCUGGACUUCUAGGGAUUCCUCCUUAGUCGCUGCAUGCAGAAUUCUGUGACACUCUAAUUAUGAUUGCUAAUAGCUUAUGUAAAUAUUUUUCUUAACAAUUUGACCCUCCGCUCCUUGAAAAACACAUGAUUAUAAAAUGGAGCUGCCAUUUCUCAUUUUUUAACUUUUUACAGAAAUAGCACAGCAGAAAUACUUUUAAAUUUUUUCUUCAUGCUAUAGAAGAAAAUAAUUUUGUUUUUAAAUAAA
rnacentral:sRNA from 1 species